GGGGGAGGGGGGGUGGUGGCCGGGUGUCAUUACCAUAAUCUGCCUGGCAACAAGCCGCGGCGUCGCGCGCUGAUUGGCUGAAACUCCUCCGCCAGCCACCAUGGAGCAUAGAACUCAAGAAAAGAGUCGGAGCGCCCAGCCUUCCCAGUUGACAAAGAAUUGGCAAAUGGGCCUGUCAUCCAGCUGUAUUUUCAAUGGCCUCUCUACCACAGCUGUGGGACUCAACUUAUUUAAACUGGAAUGGUUUGGUUGCCUUGAUUCAUGAAUGACUGAUUCUGCCAUCUUCAGAGGUUAAACGUCGCUUCAGCCUUCACAGUGGACUAGAAGAGAUAAAGGAGAUAGGAUGCCAUUGCAGGAAGAUAUGUCUCACUGAGCAAGAGGAUGAGAGUUCACUGAAUAUUUUCUGCAAAGCAGUUUCUCCUUCCUCUCUUCCCACCGUGUCGUCACUGUGCCUUUACUUGUAGACCUCUAGACCCUCAAUCUUUUGAGUUCUCUGUGUCAGGUUCAAUAUUUGUGUUCAGUUCCUUGGAGAAGCAUCAGGCAUUGCUCUGCCUUGAGAUCCUGCCAGUGCUUAAAGCCUCGGAUCCAUCUGUAGAGAGAAAUGAGCAGCAUAAAUUCCCAGUUUGUGUAUUAGCUAAAAAGGUGGUUAGUCUCUGCUAUUUCUGCAUUUGGGAUCCUCAGUCUGAGUGUGGGCUCAUUAUUCUAUUGGAUUAUAUAUCAGAAGUAAUUUCUUUUCCUGGGAAGUGAAUCCUGCAUACGUGCAGGUCUAUUCUAAAAUGGAUUCCUUGUUUCUCUCAGAUGUUGCUUUUGCCUUGGAUAGUCUUCAGAAAAACAAAUUGUCUGAUUAAGUUUACCGGUUUGCCCCCCAUCUAGAAAUGAGAGGAGGUCAUAGGUUUAGCGCAUUUUCUGGAUGCUGAGAUUCAUAUGCAGAGUGUUGAAGGAGCAGCAUCUUUCUUUAGCAGCCACUCUCUUGUGCUGCCCUUAAGCAUCCUGGAUUGAUGCAUUUUUCAUUUUCCAAUGCAAUUGAACCUUUCUGUGCUGAUGCUUCAGCAAAGCCAUAAUAUCUUCAAACCUAACAGAAGGGUAAUUUUGAAGUUUUCAGUUACAGGAGUGUUAAUGCCAGGUUUGUUUCCUUAAAUGCUGUAGGCAAGGAUUGUGCUGUUUGAGGUGAAUACAGCACAAACUACUGUGCAGAUCUGCCCACUUCAGACAUCUCAGUGGAAGCCAGAUGAAUAGCACUGUUUCAGGCAUGGACCAGAGCAGUGGGAAAAUGGCCAUCAAGAGUUAAGGGUUUAUUGGUAUAAUGAAGGGUAGAUUUUCUCGCUUCCCUGCAAACCCCUUUUAAAGAAGUCUCUGAGCAGAAAAAAAGGCUUGCUGUCCAUCACCAUUUACUGUCACUUCUUUUCACAGAUUUCUGUGCUGUUUUUCUCAUGUCUGCAGUUAUUCUAUUUAUCCCUGUUUUUAUGGUAUGCAUCUGUUCUUAGUUAUUCUCCAUCCUUUCACUCUUCUAAACUUCACUGUAUUCCCCUAGAAAUCACCUUUUUAUUUUUAAGCUCCUGUCUGCCUCUCAGGGUUUCUGCAUUUUUUGUUACCAUCUUUCUAUGGAGCAUCUUCUCACUGUAUAUCUUAAGCCCACUUUCUUUAGCAAUUUCCUUCAUCUCACUGCUGCUGGACUUCCCUUCAUCUUGUGCUCAGUGUGUUGUCAUUUUGAGUCACAUAUGGAAGGCUGAGCUGCAAGGCUUCAGGAACCCUGGGCUUCCACACAGAAGUGCUGCAGCCAAAUACAGAUGUCUAAUUCCAGAUGAGGCUGGCAACCUUCUGAUGUUAUUUAUGAGUCUGAAGAAAUAAUACUUCCCCAGGCACUUAAAUAGCUGGAUGUUGGAUCAAGUUUGAGUUGGCUCAUAACAGUUUUGCAUUGCUUUCUGCCCUGUACACAGCCUUGAUGAUAGGUAGAGGUCUUGUCUGAAGGGCAGGAUGGCUCCAGAUGAGUUGGGGCAGUUAGGUGGACAUCCUUUGUGCACUAUAUUUUUCCUAGAAGCACUGCUUAGUAUUUUUUAUAUUGUUGAAUUGUGUUCAGCAGUAGUAAUAUUGGAGUAUGAUGGUGAUACUCCAAUAAUUAGCAAUAGGGAGUUCUUUACUUAAUCCCACCACAUUUUUUCGUUGUUUCUAACUUCAGUUUGCAUUCUACCUCCUAAAACCCAAAUUGACUUAAUUCUACCUCUGCAAGCUCUACCUGUCACACAGAACUAGUACGAAUGAUGAGAUCCCCAUUUAAAUCUUCAAUCAAGUUGAGCUGUAUAGGAUUACAAUUCACUGGUUAAUUGUACUAAUUUUACACUUUAAUUUCAGGAAUUUAAGAAAAUGGUGGGAUUCUUCAAAGAUUUCCUCACUCCUCCUGAACUCAUUCUCUGGGAACUGAAAGGAUCUCAAUGUAUCAGUUUGAUAAAGUUGCUGCUUUAAUGAGAGACUUAAUGUACCAGAUGCAUUCCUUGAUGAUUUUUGUUUGCUCUUUUUAUCAUGAAUUUGACAUUACUUUUUCAGAGCGCAUUUUUGCAAUCAUAAAUAUGUGCUUUUUGUUUACACAAUCAUGGUCUUGCAAGUGAAAAGGGGCAGAGACGUUCACUUGAAACAUUUCUUACAGAAUAAACAUUGGCAGCCAAAGGUAAGGAUGAGAUUCUCAGUGCUUCAUUAGCACAGAUGUCCUGGAAAAGGGCACUAAGAGCUUCAGAACUUGGGUAAAAUGGGAUUCUUGGAAGCAAAUGUAAGCUUUCACCUACCUAACAGGUUUUGCAGCAGGAGAGGUGUCCUAGUGAAUGCUGCAGCCUUGCAGCAUUGAUUCAAAUUGGUGCUGUUGUCACAGGCAACAGACAAGAACCAGUGCUCACCUGAAAUAGACCUGUGCACUGAAUUAAACAUGGCCAUCGUGUCACCAUGCCUGCAGUGACAUGUGUGGACAGGAGGCACCUGAAAAAAGCCUUUCCAUGCUUGAACGCCUUUGGGUUUUUCCUAACUGAUGGAAUUCCAUUUGCAUCUUGCUGGAGGCUCUUAUCUCAAUUUCUCUCCCUGCCAUCCUGCAGUCAUAUAAUUUAUUUGCAUGUAGAGCUCCUGAUCAUCACCAAGGAAUGACCAAGGUCUGGGAGAUUAAACCUUUUUUUCUGGGGACUUUUUGUCUGGGUAGGACUGGUCUCUGCAUGAAGGGAAAUGUGUUAUUCUUCAAACUUUGAUUUCUCACUUGCAUCUUAGGUAGUGAACUGAGCACUGAUGGCCUUGCUUUUGAAAGGAAUGUCCUGUGUUGCAGCCUUGCUGCAGGACUUCACCUCUUACACCCUGGUGUAUCUACAGUGCAGGACUAGGAACAGGUGAGAACGCAGCUAAGGUUGUACCUCAUACUUAUUGGAGAGACUUUCCCAAGAGUCACCAGAUUUAAAGUUUUUCAGAAAAACAAGGAUCACACUGUUGGAGUCAGUGCUGUGAACAUAAAUUCUCACCAAGAACUAUGUAAAUAUUAAAAGAAAAUUAAUUUAUGUAACACUUUAAAGGCUAUAUAAAUUCAACCUCAAAUGAAAGUCCCAUCUCAAAGAUUUAUAAAGAACUUGUACAUUUUGGACUGGGGAGGAAAAAAAUCUGUCCUUUUUAAGUAAAGAGGAAAGCUUAACUCAGAAUGUCUUGUUAUACUCCUGUAUAACAGGAGUUAUAAAUACUCCUGUAUUUAUAUUGCACAUGAAAAUAUUUAUAUUAAAAUGUGUCAGUUUUCAAAAGCAACUUGUUACUCCGUUUUUCAGCUGAACUUGGCCAGGCUAAAAAGAGAAUUAUAUAUGCCAGAGGACUGCAGUAAAAUAGAUUUAAGGGGUUUCAAAUAGUGUAAGAAAGAGACUAUAAUAAGUGGCCAGUGGACCAGUCAGCAAUUUUAAUUAAAACUGGGCUGCUUAUUGAUCUGUUGUACAGAUUCAUCCCAUCUGCAACAUUUCAGCAAUAUUACUAUUUCAGAAAACAGCACUUGUAAGAGCCAGUAGAGAAUAUGGAAGUUUAGAAUGGAAAUGUUUUGUAACUGACAUUUUGUGCUAAGAUCUUUUUCCAUGUCAUUUAAGCACCUCACAUAUCUUCACACAAAAAUGAAAGCAAAUAUAUGGAAUGUAUAGGAUAUUCUAUCUUUGUCUAGUGGAAGGUGUCCCUGCCCAUGGCAGGGGCGUGGAACAAGAUGAGCUUUUCCAACCCAAGCUAUUCUGUGAUUCCAUACUGCCUUUCUAACUUAAUGCAAAUGGGUUCACUGCAUGUCAGUAUGAAAAAAAUCCAAGAAGUCUAAAAUAUAUUGGUAUUUUUAAAGAUAUCAUGUUCUUGAAACCAGUGGGAUCUUUAGCAGUUGAGUCUUCAAGGUAUGAAUUUGUCAUCUCUGCACUGACCUACAUUUCCAUUGGGAAAACCAAGGAAAGCACUAAAAAGGGGCCAAUAAAUGCUCUGCACAGGUGUGUAAGGUCUGUGGUAUCAGCAACUGCUCUUGGUAGACCUCCUUUGUUCCUGAAGGGUUUGCUUAUUUUGAAAUUAUAAUUAUUUAAAAUUUCAAUUUUUGAAGUAACAUGGUGAAAUUAAAAUACCCUCAAUGCAAAUCUGGCACAAAAACCUGUUUUUAAAGCCAGAAAGGUGUCCUGAAAUAGCAGUGGCAGAACAUCUGCACUGGAAGAAACUGCUGCUGUGCUCUGGUUGAAAAGAAACACAAACUGAAGAUGGUGAUGUGUCUGUUUUUUAAUUAAAUACGUACAUGUUAUUUAAA